GGGUCCCUCAGGACCUGUGCCGCCACCAUGGGAGAUUCCUGCCCCGGACACGUGGUAGACGUCCCGAGGAUGUGCGGGCAGCUUCAAGCCGGCCCCAUCUGCCACGGGGCUCUUCAGUUGUGAGGCCGGGCACCCUGCCCCCCGGAGGGAAGCUCUCCAGGGCUGACAGGAUGGGAGCCCGGACACGGAAUGACAGGCGGAGAUGGUGGCAGCAGGCUCCCUGCUCUGGGCCCUGCAGGGUGGGCGUCCCAGCGGCACAGUCGGCGGCUGGCCCGGCCUCUCCAUCAGCAGCCAGGUAAUUCGUGUCCCUUUCUGGCCGUGAGAGCAGAUCAC
rnacentral:lncRNA from 1 species